GGAGACCCCCCUGAGUCCUGCCUGUUGGUAUCAGGAACCGCUUUCACCUCCAGCAGUGACCUAGUCAUCUGGUCACCUGCAGGCCACAGGAACCUUCCCAUCUGCUGCCAUAGUAACAGCCAUACAUUCCCAGCAUACAUUAGGUUCAGCUCCCACCUUCACCUGGGAGCAGUUACAUCACAGUUUAAAUAAAAGGCAGACCUUUCCUGCCCCCUUUCUCCUCUUUUUUUCCUCUUUUUUUUCCCUCUCUUCUCCCCCUCUUGUCUCUGUCGUCCCCAGUAAACCUCUUCCACAUGGGACCAUUAUUGGCCUGGUGUGGUCUGUCCCGACUCGA
rnacentral:lncRNA from 1 species